rnacentral:rRNA from 1 species
UACGGGGGGGCAAGCGUUGUUCGGAAUUACUGGGCGUAAAGCGCACGUAGGCGGAUUUGUAAGUCAGGGGUGAAAUCCUGGAGCUCAACUCCAGAACUGCCUUCGAUACUGAGAGUCUCGAGUCCGGGAGAGGUGAGUGGAACUGCGAGUGUAGAGGUGAAAUUCGUAGAUAUUCGCAAGAACACCAGUGGCGAAGGCGGCUCACUGGCCCGGUACUGACGCUGAGGUGCGAAAGCGUGGGGAGCAAACAGG